rnacentral:sRNA from 1 species
GUCUCAUUUUCUGCUCUGCGACUCCUUUUGCAGAGGGGGAGCGCCUGGAGGUCCGGAUGAAACGUCUGGAAGCCAAGUAUGCCCCGCUCCACCUGGUCCCUCUGAUCGAGCGGCUGGGGACGCCUCAGCAAAUCGCCAUCGCUCGCGAGGGUGACCUCCUGACCAAGGAGCGGCUAUGCUGUGGCCUGUCCAUGUUCGAGGUCAUCCUGACCCGCAUUCGGAGCUACCUGCAGGACCCCAUCUGGCGGGGCCCACCGCCCACCAAUGGCGUCAUGCACGUCGAUGAGUGUGUGGAGUUCCACCGGCUGUGGAGCGCCAUGCAGUUCGUCUACUGCAUCCCUGUGGGAACCAACGAGUUCACAGCUGAGCAGUGUUUCGGCGAUGGCUUGAACUGGGCUGGUUGCUCCAUCAUCGUCCUGCUGGGCCAGCAGCGUCGCUUCGACCUGUUCGACUUCUGUUACCACCUGCUAAAAGUGCAGAGGCAGGACGGGAAGGAUGAAAUCAUUAAGAAUGUGCCCCUGAAGAAGAUGGCCGACCGGAUCAGGAAGUACCAGAUCUUGAACAAUGAGGUUUUUGCUAUCCUGAACAAGUACAUGAAGUCCGUUGAGACAGACAGUUCCACUGUGGAGCAUGUGCGCUGCUUCCAGCCGCCCAUCCACCAAUCCUUGGCCACCACUUGCUAAGCAAAAGAUCCUGCAGACCCUUAUCUGGAGGAGGAAGAGAAGCAGGAGAGAGAAAGCCACAGCCAGCCUGCCACAGGAUCCAACUGGACAAUGUGUGGGAUGGACCUGGAAACAAGCACCUCCCCAAACACAUCACCACUCCCUAGGGCGGGGCCUGUGCAUGCUCUCCCAUAACAUCUCCAUGCUGGUUUCUCCAUAGCAUAAAUGAAAAAAAAAAAAAAAAAAAAAAAAAGUAAAGG